UACGAGGGGGGCGAGCGUUGUUCGGAAUUAUUGGGCGUAAAGGGUGCGUAGGCGGUUUGGUAAGUCUUAUGUGAAAUCUAUGGGCUCAACUCAUAGUCUGCAUGAGAAACUGCCGGGCUUGAGUAUGGGAGAGGUGAGUGGAAUUCCUGGUGUAGCGGUGAAAUGCGUAGAUAUCAGGAGGAACACCUGUGGUGUAGACAGCUUACUGGACCAUUUCUGACGCUGAGACACGAAAGCGUGGGUAGCAAACAGG
rnacentral:rRNA from 1 species